rnacentral:rRNA from 1 species
UAAGGAAUAUUGGUCAAUGGACGCAAGUCUGAACCAGCCAUGCCGCGUGCAGGAUGACGGCCCUACGGGUUGUAAACUGCUUUUGUACGGGAAAAAACCUCCGGUCGUGAAUCGGAGCUGAUGGUACCGUAAGAAUAAGCAUCGGCUAACUCCGUGCCAGCAGCCGCGGUAAUACGGAGGAUGCAAGCGUUAUCCGGAUUCAUUGGGUUUAAAGGGUGCGCAGGCGGAAUGAUAAGUCAGUGGUGAAAUCUCUCGGCUCAACUGAGAAACUGCCAUUGAUACUGUUGUUCUUGGGUACACUUGAAGUGGGCGGAAUGUGUCAUGUAGCGGUGAAAUGCUUAGAUAUGACACAGAACACCGAUCGCGAAGGCAGCUCACUAAAUUGUAACUGACGCUCAGG